rnacentral:rRNA from 1 species
UAGGGAAUCUUCCACAAUGGACGCAAGUCUGAUGGAGCAACGCCGCGUGAGUGAAGAAGGUUUUCGGACCGUAAAGCUCUGUUGUUGGUGAAGAAGGAUAGAGGUAGUAACUGGCCUUUAUUUGACGGUAAUCAACCAGAAAGUCACGGCUAACUACGUGCCAGCAGCCGCGGUAAUACGUAGGUGGCAAGCGUUGUCCGGAUUUAUUGGGCGUAAAGCGAGCGCAGGCGGAAGAAUAAGUCUGAUGUGAAAGCCCUCGGCUUAACCGAGGAAUUGCAUCGGAAACUGUUUUCUUGAGUGCAGAAGAGGAGAGUAGAACUCCAUGUGUAGCGGUGGAAUGCGUAGAUAUAUGGAAGAAUACCAGUGGCGAAGGCGGCUCUCUGGUCUGCAACUGACGCUGAGGCUCGAAAGCAUGGGUAGCGAACAGGAUUAGAUACCCUGGUAGUCCAUGCCGUAAAACGAUGAGUGCUAAGUGUUGGGAGGCUUCCGCCUCUCAGUGCUGCAGCUAACGCAUUAAGCACUCCGCCUGGGGGAGUACGACCGCAAGGUUGAAACUCU